UACGUAGGUGGCAAGCGUUACUCGGAAUCACUAGGCGUAAAGCGCAGGUAGGAGGUUUGAUAAGUCUGUUGUGAAAGCUCCCGGCUUAACUGGGAGAGGCCAACGGAAACUGUCAGGCUUGAGUGCGGUAGAGGUAGCUGGAAUUCCCGGUGUAGCGGUGAAAUGCGUAGAUAUCGGGAGGAAUACCUAUGGCGAAAGCAGG
rnacentral:rRNA from 1 species